rfam:Picea glauca, whole genome shotgun sequence.
AUUCAAACAAGGAAGGGAUUAUGGUGGAUACCUAGGAACCCAGAGACGAGGAAGGGCAUGGUAAGUGACAAAAUUCUUCGGGGAGUUGAAAAUGAGCAUAGAUGUAGAGAUUCCCGAAUAGGUUAACCUUUUUAACUGCUUCUUAAUCCAUGGGCAGGCAAGAGAGAACCUGGCGAAAUGAAACAUCUUAGUAGCCAUAGGAAUAGAAAUCAAAAGUGAUUCCCAUAGUAGCGGUGAGAGAAAUGGGAGCAACCUAAACUAUGAAAACAGGGUUGUGGGAGAGCACAAUAUAAGCUCUAUGCUGCUAGGUGAAUCGAUUGAGUCCUACACCCUAGAUGGUGAGAGUCUAGUAGCCAAAAGCAUCAUUGGGUUAUUCUCUAACUCGAGUAGAAUGGGGCACAUGGAAUCCCAUGUGAAUCAACAAGGACCACCUUGCAAGGCUAAAUACUCCUAGGUGAUCGAUAGCAAAGUAGUACCAUGAGGGAAAGGUGAAAAUAACCCCCAUUGGGGAGUGAAAUAGAACAUGAAACUGUCAGGUCCCAAGCAAUGGGAGGAAAAUGAUAUCUCUGACCACGUGCCUAUUGAAGAAUGAGAUGGCAAAUUAUAGGCAGUGGCUUGGUUAAGGGAACCCACCGGAGCCGUAGCGAGAGAGAGUCUUCAUGGGGCAAUUGUCACUUCUUAUGGACCCGAACAUGGGUGAUCUAUCCAUGACCAGGAUGAAUAUUCAGUGAAACUAAGUGGAGGUCCAAACUGACUGAUGUUGAAAAAUCAGUGGAUGAAUCAUGGUUAGGGGUGAAAUGAGACUCGAACCUAGAGCUAGCUAGCUCUCCUUGAAAUGUGUUGAGGCACAACAAUUGACUGGACCAUCUAGGGGUAAAUAUCUGUUUCAAUACAGGCCACGAGAGGAGUACCAAAUCGAGGCAAUCUCUGAAUACUAGAUUUCCCAAUAAAAUGGGUAAAGUCCAGCCAGUGAGACUAUGGGGGAUAAGCUUCAUCGUUGAGAGGGAAAUAACCCAGAUCAUCAGCUAAUUCCCCUAAAUGACCGCUCAACGAUGAAGGAAGUAUGAAUGCAAAGACAGCUAGGAGGUUUGCCUAGAAGCAAUCAACCUUGAAAGAGUGCGUAAUAUCUCACUGAUCGAGUGCUCUUGCGCCGAAGAUGAACGGGACUAAGCGAUCUACCGAAGCUGUGGGAUGUAAAAAUACAUCGGUAGGGGAGCUUUCUACCUUAGAGGGAAGCAUCGGCGUGAGAAGGUGUGGACAAAGCGGAAGCGAUAAUGUCGGUUUGAGUAACACAAACAUUGGUGAGAAUCCAAUGCCCCGAAAACCUAAGGGUUCCUUCGCAAGUUUUGUCCACAGAGGGUGAGUCAAGGCCUAAGAUCAGGUCGAAAGGCAUAGUUGAUGGAGAACAGGUUAAUAUUCGUGUACUACCCCUUGUUGGUCCUGAGGGACGGAGGAGGCUAGGUUAGCCGAAAGAUGGUUAUCGGUUCAAGGACACAAGGUGACCCUCUAUACAUUGAUUCAAAGGUAAAAGAAUAAUCAAAUAUAGGUGUGUACAAGGUGAGGUUGGGGGUGGAUAUUCCUCAUCAUCUACUCUAGCACACAAAAAUCCAAUAUGGCUUAUCCAAACAUUAUAGGAUGCAAAAAAUCAUGUAGGAGCACCCAUAUCAUCAAUGAGGGUGAGUAUACCUUCUAGGAGAUAUGUUAACCAUAUUGUAUUAUAUUCUUCCAUUUAUGAUCUUUACAAUUGUUUUGAGGAGGUGAUGUGUGAUACUUUGUUGGAUGACUGUGAUGUUUGGGGGGUAGUUCCUUUCUGGGAGCCAGUGGUUGAUUUUGAGAUUGCAAUGUGUUCAAAUUUGCAGAAGGAAAGUUUGUUUGAGUUGCAAAGGGAGAGAAAUGAUGUUGGUGAAAACACUUUCCUCAUAAAGAGGGUGUGUUUUCUUUCGAGGUUACUCUAAAAUUGUUUGAUCGAGUUGCAAAGGAAGCAUAAAGAUGUUGGUGAAAACAUUUUCCUCAUAAAGAGGGAGUGUUUUCUUUCGAGGUUACUCCAAAAUUAAGUUACACCAUACUUAAGGGUUCUUCAUGUGAUGUGGGGUGCAUGGUGUAUUUAUAACCCUUAGUUGAUGUGAUGGACAUGCACAUUGGAGUUAGAUUUCCCAUUGAUUAUAAGACCUUGUCUUGAUGCAUAUGUGGAAUUCUUCCUUGGAGCAUUGUAGACCUACAUGGCUAGUGGCUUUCUUCACGAGACAAAAAUGGAGGUUGAUUGAUUCCUUGGGAUGAUGGUUUUCCUUGGAGGAGGAUAAUUGGGCAUCUUGGAGGAGGGAAUUGAACCCUAGAUGGCACAGAGACACUUGGUUUCUUACAUGGAGACUUGACCUUGACUUGAGGACACUUGGGUUGACAACCAAUCAUGUAAGUGGCAUUGACCUAGAGGUAUAAAUGGCUUAAGAAGGAGUGGUGGAGAAUUGGAGCUUGGCAUGUGUGAGUUGGAGUUGGAGUGAUCCACAUGUGGGGAUAUUUAGUAAUUAGAUAGAUUUUUUGUUGUGGACUUGAUCCACUUUAUGAUUUUUUCCUUCCUUGACUUUCAUAUAAAUAAAUUGAGAAGGUAUUUUCAUCACUUUUACUUCUUCACUCAUAGACUCACAUGAUUGCGUUAGAGAUGUGAGACUAGGGUGUACUUGUCUUCUUAUACUCUUAUUCAUGUGUAUUUUCUUGAUGUUUGAAUCCUCCUUAGAGUUUCUUGUCAUAAGUAGUAUUCACUUUUUUGUUCUUCAUUACUUCUCUAAUUCUAACAAAAGCACAACAGAAACAAAUCUAAAUAGAGGGAGGUCAUCUCUUUAGUUGAUAAAAUUAUGGAAAGUAAGAAAUAUAGAGAAAAAAAAGAAGAAAAAGAGUAGGGAUCUUCAUGGAGAAAAAAAAGAGCUAACCCUAACCCGAACUCGAUUGGAGUCUUGUGAUUUUGGGGACAAAGCCCAUGAAAUUACUAUUAUCGACGACCUCCUUCUCUUUCUUUGUCGCUCGAGAUUUUAUGUGGAUCUUGGCCUCCUUAUCUGUCGCUAUCCCUCAACUUUCUCUUGCCCAACUCCUUCUUUGUGUCUUGGCCUCCUCUUUCCCUAGCUCUUGCCCUCCUCUUGGCCUCCUUCUCUUGCCAAACAUC